AUGCUAACGUGUUUUUUUUUUUUUUUGGCCCUGCCUUUCAAAACAAGCAUGAAAGCUUUAGUUCAACUCGGCUAUUUUACGAAGGCGAAAACUGAGAUUCGGAAGCACUGCUCGCAGACGUAAGCGAAUCAACUUUGGGAUGUUACCAUUGCCUCCGCAAUCUGGCAGAAGAAGAAAUAUAAAAUGUAGUUUUGCUGGACACUGGGCAGACCUAUGACAUCUCUGAACCUAUGGACCACCAGCCUGCAAGAUCAGUGACCCUGAGGAACAGGAAGCCAGAGCACCACUUUUUCUAUCUUGAUCUCAGAACCCACACUGUAUCUACAAUUUUACAUGCAAUAUAUAUGAAGUCAA